UGCGUAGGCGGUUUUAUAAGUCACUUGUAAAAGAUCUCAGCCCAACUGAGUAAGGCGAGUGAAACUGUGAGACUUGAAUACGGUAGAGGUAAGUGGAAUUCCAUGUGUAGCGGUGGAAUGCGUAGAUAUAUGGAGGAACACCAAUGGCGAAGGCAACUUACUGGGCCGGAAUUGACGCUGAGGCACGAAAGCGUGGGGAGCAAACAGGAUUAGAUACCCUGGUAGUCC
rnacentral:rRNA from 1 species